ACUCCUACGGGAGGCAGCAGUGGGGAAUAUUGCACAAUGGGCGCAAGCCUGAUGCAGCCAUGCCGCGUGUAUGAAGAAGGCCUUCGGGUUGUAAAGUACUUUCAGCAGUGAGGAAGGUGGGUAUGUUAAUUAAGCAUGCAUUCAUUUUGACGUUAGCUGCAGAAGAAGCACCGGCUAACUCCGUGCCAGCAGCCGCGGUAAUACGGAGGGUGCAAGCGUUAAUCGGAAUUACUGGGCGU
rnacentral:rRNA from 1 species